rnacentral:rRNA from 1 species
GACGAACGCUGGCGGCGCGCCUAACACAUGCAAGUCGAACGGAGCUGAGAGAAGCUUGCUUUUCUUAGCUUAGUGGCGCACGGGUGAGUAACGCGUGAGUAACCUGCUCUGGUGUGGGGGACAACAGUUGGAAACGACUGCUAAUACCGCAUAAGCCCACGAUCCGGCAUCGGGGUGAGAGAAAAGGAUUUAUUCGCUUUAGGAUCGACUCUCGUCCACUUAUCUAUUUGGUGGGGUAACGGCACGGCAAGGCCACGUAUGGUAGCCGGGCGGAGAGGUUGAACCGCCGCAUUGGGGCUAAGGCACGGACCAGACCCCUACGGGAGGCAGCAGUGGGGGAUACAGCGCGAUGGAGGAAGAUGUGAUGAAGCGGCGCGGCGUGGAGGGAGAAGGUUUUCGGAUUGUACAUUCCUGUCGUAAGGGGCGUUAAUGACGGUAACUAACAAGAAAGCACCGGCUAACUACGUG